rnacentral:rRNA from 1 species
GAUGAACGCUGGCGGCGUGCUUAACACAUGCAAGUCGAACGGAGUUCUGAUGUGUGAAGUGAAGUAGCUUGCUACGGAGUGGAACUUUUCAGAACUUAGUGGCGGACGGGUGAGUAACGCGUGGGUAACCUGCCUCAUACAGGGGGAUAACAGUUAGAAAUGACUGCUAACACCGCAUAACAUGGCGAGACCGCAUGACCUUGCCAUCAAAAAUUUAUUGGUAUGAGAUGGGCCCGCGUCUGAUUAGCUAGUUGGUGGGGUAAUAGCCUACCAAGGCGACGAUCAGUAGCCGGCUUGAGAGAGCGACCGGCCACAUUGGGACUGAGACACGGCCCAA